UUCAUCGUUUGGAGGCUGAGCCGACUGAGAGAGUCAUUCUCUCUGACCUUACAUGCGACAGUGAUGGAAAGGUCACGACUUUCAUUGGGAAUGACAAACCUGGUGCGGAGACAGCGAAGCAUCUGCCUGUUCAUGAGCUUGAAGGUGACAAACCCUAUUACAUGGGGAUGUUUCUCGGAGGAGCAUAUCAGGAAGUGCUUGGAAGCUUGCACAAUCUCUUCGGUAAUCCACAUGUCAUUCAUGUUGUGCCGUC
rnacentral:lncRNA from 1 species